GCGAGGCAGAGCGAACCCCCAAAACGACCGUCUCAGUUCGGAUCGCAGGCUGCAACCCGCCUGCGUGAAGUCGGAAUCGCUAGUAAUCGCGGAUCAGCAUGCCGCGGUGAAUACGUUCCCGGGCCUUGUACACACCGCCCGUCACACCAUGAGAGUCGGGAACACCCGAAGUCCGUAGCCUAACUAGCAAUAGAGGGCGCGGCCGAAGGUGGGUUCGAUAAUUGGGGUGAAGUCGUAACAAGGUAAC
rnacentral:rRNA from 1 species